rfam:Gossypium raimondii chromosome 8, whole genome shotgun sequence.
AAUCCAUGCAUUAAACAUUUCUGAAGUAAUUCUUUAAAUCAUUCCCAAGCUUCAUACAACAUUUCAUCCUCUAAUUGUUGAAAGGAUGCGAUGUCAUUCCUAAGCUU